CGCCUGUUUAUCAAAAACAUUGCUUUUUGAAAAAUAUAAAAAGUACAACCUGCCCCAUGAAUAUAUUAAAUGGCCAUAGUAUUUAUGACUAUGCAAAGGUAGCAUAAUCAUUUGUCUUAUAAAUUAAGACUGGAAUGAAUGGAUUAAUGAGGUAAAGCUUUCUUAAGUUAAAAAUUAAAAGUAAUUUUUCUGGUGAAGAAACCAGAAUAAAAUUGAGGGACGAGAAGACCCUAUUAAGCUUAAAUAUAUUUAUUUUGUUGGGGAAACAAAAGAGAAAUUUUUCUUUAUAUAAUUUUGCUGAUAAGUUUUUUGAUUCAUAAAUUAUGAUGAUAGAAUAAGUUACUAUAGGGAUAACAGCAUAAUUUUUUUUGAAAGCUCUUAUUUACAAAGAAGAUUAUGACCUCGAUGUUGGAUUAAAAAUAUUAUAUGAUGUAGUUGUUGUAUAAAUUAGUCUGUUCGACUAUUAAAUUUUUACAUGAUCUGAGUUCAAA
rnacentral:rRNA from 1 species